UAAGACGAACUGCCCAAACGUUGUUCGGAAUCACUGGGCUUAAAGGGCGCGUAGGCGGCAGAUCAAGUCAGGGGUGAAAUCCGGCAGCUCAACUGUCGAAGUGCCUUUGAUACUGAUUUGCUCGAGGGAGAUAGGGGUCUGCGGAACUUCUGGUGGAGCGGUGAAAUGCGUUGAUAUCAGAAGGAACGCCGGUGGCGAAAGCGGCGGACUGGAUCUCUUCUGACGCUGAGGCGCGAAAGCUAGGGGAGCAAACGGGAUUAGAUACCCCGGUAGUCCUAGCCCUAAACGAUGGGUACUAGAUAGUAGACUAACAUGGGUUUACUGUCGAAGCAAAAGUUUUAAGUACCCCGCCUGGGGAGUAUGGUCGCAAGGCUG
rnacentral:rRNA from 1 species